rnacentral:rRNA from 1 species
GCCUCCCUCUGGCGGCGUGCUUAACACAUGCAAGUCGAACGGAAAGGCCCUGCUUUUGUGGGGUGCUCGAGUGGCGAACGGGUGAGUAACACGUGAGUAACCUGCCCUUGACUUUGGGAUAACUUCAGGAAACUGGGGCUAAUACCGGAUAGGAGCUCCUGCUGCAUGGUGGGGGUUGGAAAGUUUCGGCGGUUGGGGAUGGACUCGCGGCUUAUCAGCUUGUUGGUGGGGUAGUGGCUUACCAAGGCUUUGACGGGUAGCCGGCCUGAGAGGGUGACCGGCCACAUUGGGACUGAGAUACGGCCCAGACUCCUACGGGAGGCAGCAGUGGGGAAUAUUGCACAAUGGGCGGAAGCCUGAUGCAGCAACGCCGCGUGCGGGAUGACGGCCUUCGGGUUGUAAACCGCUUUCGCCUGUGACGAAGCGUGAGUGACGGUAAUGGGUAAAGAAGCACCGGCUAACUACGUG